rnacentral:lncRNA from 1 species
AAGGGUCUGGGUGGCUGUGGCUGAGCUCAGCAUGGGGUCACUUACCUGCUGCUCCUGAUAAUUCAUGACCGUCUGCACUGUCCCCUGAGCCCCAGCCUGGCCUGUCCCCAGCCUGCAGCUGGGCAGAUCUUUGCUCCAAAAGCUCAGCAGAGAGUGGCUCCUUACUCGAGGAAUGCAGGCUAGACUCUCCAGAGCUGAUGAUGAAAUGGGCUAUUUCUGCCCAGGGACACCAGCAGGCCCCUGGGUGCUGGCCCCAAGGCACACACCGUCAUGUUUUCAAAGUUUCCCUAGACAAAUGCUUUCCUUCCCACCUUGAGACAUUCUUAUCUGCUUCUACCUGCUCGAAUGGCUGUAGCAGUCACUCUGGAGGAACAUUGGGAUUGUGAGGAGGGUCCAGCUAAUCAGCAAGCAAUUUCUCACUCCCCAAGCUAUCCAUCACCCAGGCUGAUCUGGAUGUAAAAAUAGCUGCUGAGGCUGCUUGUUUAAUCUGACUGUCACUUGACACCACGCUGGUGUCGCCGGGUGGACUGUUUGCCUCUUCCGUCCGCAGUACACUGGUCCCCGCCGGGUCUCUGCCGAGGGGUUUGGGGACACAAGCUGGUGAAAGAGGACAGAAGAGGAGCUGGGAAUCCACCCAAGGCAGGGAUGGGGACCCAG